GUUUUGAAAAUUUCAGGGGGAGGGAUGAACCCCCCCCCCUGCUACAGGCCUGUCAAUAUUUGCUUGAGAUAGCGCUUGUAGUUCUGGAGGGACUCUUAAUUUUUUUGUGUCUCAUAGACUUAGCAUGGGGAGUUGGUUAAUCAGUUAAAAUUCAUGAAUAAACCAGGUUUUUUUUAACCUGAAAAAUUGGGGGGGGGGGGUUUGAACCUGCCAACCUAUGUCUCUUCAGUAGACUAGAUGUUCUUCUAAUUCUAUGAUUCAAAUACAACGAGAUCCCUAAUUGUAUGGAAGCAAUUCCUAUCUAUCAGCUUCUUUUGAUUUGUAAUCCAGUUCUAAGGGAAAAGAACUCUGAUCCAAAAUGAGGAUUCCAGUGUUUUGGAAAUGUAAGGACAAGGCUGUGCUCCGCAGAUACAGAUCUGUUCAAAUCUCCCCUAUCUGACCAUUGUCUCAAGCUGAUCAAAUCUAGCUCGAUGCUAUCGUGGAAAAGUGCCAUUUCACGGAUCUACUAUACCUCUAAAAAAAGAAAAGAAAGAAAUUGACAUAUAUAUUUUGUUCCAAUCUGUCUCACAAUUAUAAAGAUACUGAUUCAAGCACAGUAAUAAAAUGGUACAUGCGGUGCUCGGAAUUGCUAGAAAACGAUUCAGGACUACAGAAACAGGAAUUGGAUUUUUUUUAACUACUUCAAGGAACACAUCAACAAAUGACAGUCUCCUGAUCCAUUUGUCCUGUCUAGAACAAAAGAAGUUGAUCAGAGUGAGUGGCAAUCAAGUUCCUAAACCAACUUUAUUUUUAGAAUAUCAGUUUCCCAAAAGCAAAAGCCCUAUUCUUUUGGGACCCUAUGCACCAGACAACAACAAAAACUUAGACAGUGCCCUUUACUUUUAACCAUCUGCAGCAGACUGGUUAUAUACAGUAGCCACUGGACACCAGAAAACUGUCAUAAAAGUCCUUUUGAGCCACUGGUGCCAGUCUUCAGAGUCUAAAUAUGCACAAAAUUAAAGUCUUAUUUUCUAUACAAUAAAAUUCAAGAAGGAAGGCUCUGAAAUUCCCUCCCUAGGGAGAUUAGACUGGCCCCUACCCUGUCUGUCUUUAUCAAACAGCUGAAGCCAUGGUUCUGCCAGCGUGCGUUUGAAUGACCACCAACUUGAUAGAGCCCUAUCACUGAUACAUUACUCCCCAGCAUUUUAUUUCCUUCCUAUUUAUCCUACCCCGAAUUAUCUCAGCCAACUCUCUGACACUUGUCCACGCACUUUAUCACAAGCCCUUGAAAUUGUGUAUUUUCUUAUGCUUGACCCCUUUUUAUCCAUAGUGUAUCAUUACCUCAUUUUGCUUGGUCAUUUUAUGUUUUAUUAUAUGUUAUGUUUUAACCAAUUAUUUUACUUGAUUAUUAUACUUUUGUUUUUAGUUAUUGAUAUGUGUUUUAAAUUGUUAUACUUUGUUUCUGUGUUGGGCUCAGCCCCAUGUUAGCCGCCCCGAGUCCCUUCGGGGAGAUGGUGGCGAGAUAGAAAAAUAAAAUAUUAUUAUUUAUUUAUUUAUUUAUUAAGGAAGCGUGAGAGAGAGAGAGAGAAAAGAGAAGUCAAAUUUGUAAUUAUCUCCAGUCCCAGACCUCACUUGCCCCUGGAGUUACUAUACACACACAUACAGAAAAUAUCCUUGGGUGUUUCAUGGCAAGUCAGCGUUAGACUUCUUUUCCUUCAAACCAUCUCAGAAGACAGAAAGAGAACCCAAGUGACAAAUGGGAUUCCUUAUAUUGAGAAAUACUUUUGCCUGCAGCCCGUGGAGCAAGUUGCUUAAUCUGGUCAAAAAUCAUGAAAAUUAAGAGGGAGGAAAGGAUUCCAAGAGCCCAGAACAUCAAGCUAUACAUGUUAGCAAUAAAGGCAGGAUGAAAUGAAAUGUUACAGAAAAUCCUGGUCCCAGAUCAUCUGGGCCUCAGUUUGCAGGCUGACCGGAGUGGAGUAAAAAGGGGCAUUUCUUGGUGGUUUUUCCUAAGGAACAGCAGGGCUCAGACUUGCUACUGGUAAUGCUCUCCAUGAACUACUGUUUAUUUUGGUCUUCCUGAGCAGACUGGAGGGAAAUGUUUCCUCUUUGUUCCAUUUGGACAGAAGGAAAACAUCUGAAAGAUCCUCCUCACUUUCUCUUCUGGCAUAUUUCCAUGAACAGCUUCUAGCAUACUAUACCUUGGGUUUGAAAGCUUUGCAUAUAUUCAGAGAUAAUUACCAUAUAUCUUCUUAGGCCCUUCUACACUACCAUAUAAUCCAGAUUAUUAAAUCAGAUAAUCCACAUUAUCUGCUUUGAACUGGAUUUUAUGAGUCUACACUGCCAUAUAAUCCAGUUCAAAGCAGAUAAUCUGAAUUUUAUAUGGCGAUGUAUGAGCCUUAGUCUUCUCAACUAAACAUAUUGAGCUCCUUCAACUGCUUCUCAGAGAACUUGAUUUCCACACCAUGUAACUUUCUUUUGAAUGCAUUCCGGCUUGAACCAAGCACAUCAGUUGUAACCAAUAAGGAGGACUUAUUAGCACAUUUGGAAAGGAAUAUUUGGGGGGAAAAAAACCAUGACGGCCUAAGGCAUUCUAGAUAACCACUCCCAAACUGUGAAAUCCCCUCUAAUGGGAGCCUUGGUUUGCCUGUCAUACAUUCUCUUUUCAUCAAUAAACAAAGAGAUUUUUUAUUAAGACAUCUUUUGGCUGGUUGCUAAUUAUUGCAAAAAAUUCUUUUGGGAGGCAGGUUGCUCUAAAUGUUUUAAGAUAUUUUAAAUUGAUGCUGGUCAUUUAAUGGGUCUUUUAAAAUGUCUUUUUUCUGAUUUAUUUUUUUUGUUGAAGGUUGUUAUAACCUGUGCUAGGUGUCACCUGAGGUCCAAUACUGGGAGAAAGGAGAGGCAUAAAUUCAUAUUAACAGAAUGAAAUAAAAAUAAACUCUGUUUUCACCAACAAUAUCUCUCUGCAUUUCUACCUUUAUUUCUAUCACAUAGUCCACCUCUUUAUCACUAGGACUGUUGAAUUGAUUCGCAUGCUAUAAACUAAGUGCUAUUUAUUUAGGCUUAAGAAUUUAUACAGCAAACCAUUUAGCUCAUUUCCUAUUGCCCAGACAACCAUCAUUUCAAGCAGGAAAGAUAUGAAGCAACCUCCCUAUUGCCAUGAACAAAAGGAGUUGGAGGGACAUACUGCUAUUUCUCUAGUUUCUGUAAAAUAUUUAUCCAGAUACACCAAAUGAAAUAAAUAUGAUCAGAAGUUAUGCUAUUACGCUCUACCAUCACAAAAAUUGCACAGACAGAUCGAAGUAAUACAGUUCUGCAUCUACGGAUUCAACCAUUCACAGCUAGGAUAUAUAUAUGGGGACACCAUUUUACUAGACCAUUGUAUAUAAGGGGACUUCAGCAUCCAUGGAUUUUGGUAUCAAUUUGGGGCAGAAGUCCUGGAAACCAAAGCCCAGCGGAUACUAAGGCCUCACUCACUGUACAAUCAUUACAAUACACGGAGAAAGGACAAGCAUCCCUCUGAAUGAGUGGACAUCUAUUUAAGAAAUAAACACACAUUUCCAUAAAAGUAUACUCUUCGAUCCAUCUCCAAGAAUGCAGUGAAUCUUCAAAAUGGAUUGUAAAU